rnacentral:rRNA from 1 species
AUUGAACGCUGGCGGCAUGCCUUACACAUGCAAGUCGAACGGUAACGCGGGGCAACCUGGCGACGAGUGGCGAACGGGUGAGUAAUGUAUCGGAACGUGCCCAGUUGUGGGGGAUAACUGCUCGAAAGAGCAGCUAAUACCGCAUACGACCUGAGGGUGAAAGCGGGGGAUCGCAAGACCUCGCGCAAUUGGAGCGGCCGAUGUCAGAUUAGGUAGUUGGUGAGGUAAAGGCUCACCAAGCCGACGAUCUGUAGCUGGUCUGAGAGGACGACCAGCCACACUGGGACUGAGAAACGGCCCAGACUCCUACGGGAGGCAGCAGUGGGGAAUUUUGGACAAUGGACGCAAGUCUGAUCCAGCCAUGCCGCGUGCGGGAAGAAGGCCUUCGGGUUGUAAACCGCUUUUGCCAGGGAAGAAACGCUCUGGGUUAAUACCUCGGGGUAAUGACGGUACCUGAAGAAUAAGCACCGGCUAACUACGUGCCAGCAGCCGCCGUAA